AGUGAACGCUGGCGGUAGGCCUAACACAUGCAAGUCGAACGGCAGCACAGUAAGAGCUUGCUCUUACGGGUGGCGAGUGGCGGACGGGUGAGGAAUACAUCGGAAUCUACUUUUUCGUGGGGGAUAACGUAGGGAAACUUACGCUAAUACCUCAUACGACCUACGGGUGAAAGCAGGGGAUCUUCGGACCUUGCGCGAUUGAAUGAGCCGAUGUCGGAUUAGCUAGUUGGCGGGGUAAAGGCCCACCAAGGCGACGAUCCGUAGCUGGUCUGAGAGGAUGAUCAGCCACACUGGAACUGAGACACGGUCCAGACUCCUACGGGAGGCAGCAGUGGGGAAUAUUGGACAAUGGGCACAAGCCUGAUCCAGCCAUACCGCGUGGGUGAAGAAGGCCUUCGGGUUGUAAAGCCCUUUUGUUGGGAAAGAAAAGCAGCAGGUUAAUACCCCGCUGUUCUGACGGUACCCAAAGAAUAAGCACCGGCUAACUUCGUG
rnacentral:rRNA from 1 species